rnacentral:rRNA from 1 species
GGGAAUAUUGGACAAUGGGCGAAAGCCUGAUCCAGCAAUGCCGCGUGUGUGAAGAAGGCCUGCGGGUUGUAAAGCACUUUUGCGGGGGAAGCGGGGCCGGGGCGCUCAUACCGCCUUGGUUUGACGGUACUCUGCGAAUACGCACCGGCCAACUCCGUGCCAGCAGCCGCGGUAAUACGGGGGGGGCGAGCGUUGUUCGGAUUUACUGGGCGUAAAGGGCGCGCAGGCGGCGCCGGAAGUCCUGGGUGAAAGCUCCCGGCUCAACUGGGAGAGGGCCUGGGAAACCACGGUGCUGGAGUGCUGGAGAGGGAAGCGGAAUUCCCGGUGUAGCGGUGGAAUGCGUAGAUAUCGGGAGGAACACUCGAGGCGAAGGCGGCUUCCUGGACAGACACUGACGCUGAGGCGCGAAAGCUGGGGGAGCAAA